UACGUAGGGGGCGAGCGUUGCUCGGAAUUACUGGGCGUAAAGGGUGUGUAGGUGGCUGAAUGAGUCAAAGAUGAAAUCCCGAGGUUCAACUUCGGAAUUGUCUUUGAUACUGUUCGGCUUGAGGUUAGUUGAGGAGAGCGGAAUUCCCGGUGGAGCGGUGAAAUGCGUAGAUAUCGGGAGGAACACCUGAGGCGAAGGCGGUUCUCUAAACUAAUCCUGACACUGAGACACGAGAGCUAGGGGAGCGAACGGG
rnacentral:rRNA from 1 species